rnacentral:rRNA from 1 species
UACGAAGGGGGCUAGCGUUGCUCGGAAUCACUGGGCGUAAAGCGCACGUAGGCGGGUCGUUAAGUCGGGGGUGAAAUCCUGGAGCUCAACUCCAGAACUGCCUUCGAUACUGGCGAUCUUGGAGUCCGGGAGAGGUGGGUGGAACGUGCGAGUGUAGAGGUGAAAUUCGUAGAUAUUCGCAAGAACACCAGUGGCGAAGGCGGCUCACUGGCCCGGUACUGACGCUGAGGUGCGAAAGCGUGGGGAGCAAACAGGG